rnacentral:rRNA from 1 species
CACGUAGGGGGCGAGCGUUGUCCGGAUUUAUUGGGCGUAAAGAGCUCGUAGGCGGCUCAGUAAGUCAGGUGUGAAAACUCCAGGCUCAACCUGGAGACGCCACUUGAUACUGCUGUGGCUAGAGUCCGGUAGGGGAGCAUGGAAUUCCUGGUGUAGCGGUGAAAUGCGCAGAUAUCAGGAGGAACACCAGUGGCGAAGGCAGAUCUCUGGGCCGUAACUGACGCUGAGGAGCGAAAGCGUGGGGAGCGAACAGG